CCUACGGGGGGCAGCAGUGGGGAAUAUUGGGCAAUGGGCGCAAGCCUGACCCAGCAACGCCGCGUGAAGGAAGAAGGCCCUCGGGUUGUAAACUUCUUUUAUUCGGGACGAAACAAAUGACGGUACCGAAUGAAUAAGCCACGGCUAACUACGUGCCAGCAGCCGCGGUAAUACGUAGGUGGCAAGCGUUGUCCGGAAUUACUGGGUGUAAAGGGAGCGCAGGCGGGAAGCCAAGUCAGCUGUGAAAACUACGGGCUUAACUUGUAGACUGCAGUUGAAACUGGUUUUCUUGAGU
rnacentral:rRNA from 1 species